UUUGCAUUGAUUUCCAGGCCCAGGGAUAGAAAGUGCUCCACAAUCUCCACAUGCCCUGUUCGGACUGCCACGUGCAGGGGGGUGCUCAGCAGCUGGGUGGGGAGGAAGGUGGAACUGAAGAGACUUGGACUCUGAUAAGCACCAGAGACACUUAUUCAAGAUUACACAACAAAGAAAUGGAUGAAUAGCAAAAUGGUGGGCGAAUAAAUAAAUGAAUGGAUGAAUGGA